AGUGAACGCUGGCGGUAGGCCUAACACAUGCAAGUCGAACGGCAGCACAGUAAGAGCUUGCUCUUACGGGUGGCGAGUGGCGGACGGGUGAGGAAUACAUCGGAAUCUACUUUUUCGUGGGGGAUAACGUAGGGAAACUUACGCUAAUACCGCAUACGACCUACGGGUGAAAGCAGGGGAUCUUCGGACCUUGCGCGAUUGAAUGAGCCGAUGUCGGUUUAGCAGGUUGGCGGGGUAAAGGCCCACCAAGGCGACGAUCCGUAGCUGGUCUGAGAGGAUGAUCGGCCAACCGGGACCGAGGCAACGGUCCAGCCUCUUAGGGGAGGCAGAGGUGGGGAAUAUUGGACAAUGGGGGAAACCCUGAGCCAGCCAUACCGCGUGGGUGAAGAAGGCCUCCGGGUGGUAAAGCCCUUUUGUUGGGAAAGAAAAGCAGCAGGUUAACACCCCGCUGUUCUGCGGGUACCAAAAGAAUAAGCACGGGCUAACUUCGU
rnacentral:rRNA from 1 species